UACUUUCAGUCGUGAGGAAGGCGGCGUCGUUAAUAGCGGCGUUGUUUGACGUUAGCGACAGAAGAAAGCACCGGCUAACUCCGUGCCAGCAGCCGCGGUAAUACGGAGGGUGCGAGCGUUAAUCGGAAUUACUGGGCGUAAAGCGCAUGCAGGUGGUUUGUUAAGUCAGAUGUGAAAGACCCGGGGCGUCAACCUCGGAAUUGCAUUUGUAAACUAGGCAGACUAGAGUACUGUAGAGGGGGGUAGGAAUUUCAGGUGUAGCGGUGAAAUGCGUAGAGAUCUGAAGGAAUACCGGUGGCGAAGGCGGCCCCCUCGGACAGAUACUGACACUCAGAUGCGAAAGCGUGGGGAGCAAACAGGAUUAGAUACCCUGGUAG
rnacentral:rRNA from 1 species